rnacentral:rRNA from 1 species
GAUGAACGCUGGCGGCGUGCCUAAUACAUGCAAGUCGAGCGAACGGACGAGAAGCUUGCUUUUCUGAUGUUAGCGGCGGACGGGUGAGUAACACGUGGAUAACCUACCUAUAAGACUGGGAUAACUUCGGGAAACCGGAGCUAAUACCGGAUAAUAUUUUGAACCGCAUGGUUCAAAAGUGAAAGACGGUCUUGCUGUCACUUAUAGAUGGAUCCGCGCUGCAUUAGCUAGUUGGUAAGGUAACGGCUUACCAAGGCAACGAUGCAUAGCCGACCUGAGAGGGUGAUCGGCAACACUGGAACUGAGACCCGGUCCAGACUCCUACGGGAGGCAGCAGUAGGGAAUCUUCCGCAAUGGGCGAAAGCCUGACGGAGCAACGCCGCGUGAGUGAUGAAGGUCUUCGGAUCGUAAAACUCUGUUAUUAGGGAAGAACAUAUGUGUAAGUAACUGUGCACAUCUUGACGGUACCUAAUCAGAAAGCCACGGCUAACUACG